rnacentral:rRNA from 1 species
GACGAACGCUGGCGGCGUGCUUAACACAUGCAAGUCGAGCGGUAAGGCCCUUUCGGGGGUACACGAGCGGCGAACGGGUGAGUAACACGUGGGUGACCUGCCCUCAGCUCUGGGAUAAGCCUGGGGAAACCGGGUCGUAAUACUGGAUAUGACUCCAUGACGCAUGUUGUGGGGUGGAAAGCCUUGUGCGGCUGAGGAUGGGCCCGCGGCCUAUCAGCUUGUUGGUGGGGUGANGGCCUACCAAGGCGACGACGGGUAGCCGGCCUGAGAGGGCGACCGGCCACACUGGGACUGAGACACGGG